rnacentral:rRNA from 1 species
ACGAGAGGCUCAAGUUGACGGACAUCGGCGUAAAGAGUGGUUAGGAAGUCUUUCAAACUAAAGCCGAACGCCCUCAGAACUGUUAUACGUACCCGAGGGUAAGAAGCCCCCCUACGAAAGUGGCUUUAUAUCUCCGACCCCACGAAAGCUGCGAAACAAACUGGGAUUAGAUACCCCACUAUG